rnacentral:rRNA from 1 species
UACGGGGGGGGCAAGCGUUGUUCGGAAUUACUGGGCGUAAAGGGCUCGUAGGCGGCCAACUAAGUCGGACGUGAAAGCCCCGGGCUCAACCUGGGAACAGCGCUUGAGACUGGCACGCUCGAGUUCGGGAGAGGAUGGUGGAAUUCCCAGUGUAGAGGUGAAAUUCGUAGAUAUUAGGAAGAACACCAGUGGCGAAGGCGGCUCACUGGCCCGGUACUGACGCUGAGGCGCGAAAGCGUGGGGAGCAAACAGG